rnacentral:rRNA from 1 species
UACAGAGGUCCCGAGCGUUGUUCGGAUUCACUGGGCGUAAAGAGUGUGUAGGCGGUGCUCUAAGUUCGGUGUGAAAUCUCCUGGCUUAACUGGGAGGGUGCGCCGAAAACUGGAGUGCUCGAGCGUGGGAGAGGAAAGCGGAAUUCCUGGUGUAGCGGUGAAAUGCGUAGAUAUCAGGAGGAACACCUGCGGUGUAGACGGCUUUCUGGACCAUUGCUGACGCUGAGACACGAAAGCGUGGGUAGCAAACAGG